UACGUAGGGGGCAAGCGUUGUCCGGAUUUACUGGGCGUAAAGAGCGUGUAGGCGGCCAAACAGGUCCGUUGUGAAAACUGGAGGCUCAACUUCCAGACGUCGACGGAAACCGUGUGGCUAGAGUCCGGAAGAGGAGAGUGGAACUCCUGGUGUAGCGGUGAAAUGCGCAGAUAUCAGGAAGAACACCAAUGGCGAAGGCAGCUCUCUGGGACGGUACUGACGCUGAGACGCGAAAGCGUGGGGAGCGAACAGG
rnacentral:rRNA from 1 species